rnacentral:rRNA from 1 species
GACGAACGCUGGCGGCGUGCUUAACACGUGCAAGUCGAACGGAAAGGCCCUGCUUUUGUGGGGUGCUCGAGUGGCGAACGGGUGAGUAACACGUGAGUAACCUGCCCUUGACUUUGGGAUAACUUCAGGAAACUGGGGCUAAUACCGGAUAGGAGCUCCUGCUGCAUGGUGGGGGUUGGAAAGUUUCGGUGGUUGGGGAUGGACUCGCGGCUUAUCAGCUUGUUGGUGGGGUAGUGGCUUACCAAGGCUUUGACGGGUAGCCGGCCUGAGAGGGUGACCGGCCACAUUGGGACUGAGAUACGGCCCAGACUCCUACGGGAGGCAGCAGUGGGGAAUAUUGCACAAUGGGCGGAAGCCUGAUGCAGCAACGCCGCGUGCGGGAUGACGGCCUUCGGGUUGUAAACCGCUUUCGCCUGUGACGAAGCGUGAGUGACGGUAAUGGGUAAAGAAGCACCGGCUAACUACGUG